GCUGGGCGUGGUGGUGUGCGCCUGUAGUCCCAGCUACUCAGGAGGCUGAGGCAGGAGAAUCACUUGAACCUGGGAGGCAGAGGUUGCAGUGAGCCCAGAUCGUGCCACUGCACUCCAGCCUGGGUGACAGAGUGAGAUUCUGUCUCAA
ensembl:misc_RNA Metazoa_SRP Metazoan signal recognition particle RNA